AUUGAACGCUGGCGGCAUGCCUUACACAUGCAAGUCGAACGGCAGCAUGAUCUAGCUUGCUAGAUUGAUGGCGAGUGGCGAACGGGUGAGUAAUACAUCGGAACGUGCCCUGUAGUGGGGGAUAACUAGUCGAAAGAUUAGCUAAUACCGCAUACGACCUGAGGGUGAAAGUGGGGGACCGCAAGGCCUCAUGCUAUAGGAGCGGCCGAUGUCUGAUUAGCUAGUUGGUGAGGUAAAGGCUCACCAAGGCGACGAUCAGUAGCUGGUCUGAGAGGACGAUCAGCCACACUGGGACUGAGACACGGCCCAGACUCCUACGGGAGGCGGCAGUGGGGAAUUUUGGACAAUGGGCGAAAGCCUGAUCCAGCAAUGCCGCGUGUGUGAAGAAGGCCUUCGGGUUGUAAAGCACCUUUGUCCGGAAAGAAAUGGCUCUGGUUAAUACCUGGGGUCGAUGACGGUACCGGAAGAAUAAGGACCGGCUAACUACGUG
rnacentral:rRNA from 1 species